UACGAAGGGGGCUAGCGUUGUUCGGAAUUACUGGGCGUAAAGCGUAUGCAGGCGGAUCGUUGAGUCGGGGGUGAAAUCCCGAGGCUCAACCUCGGAACUGCCUUCGAUACUGGCGACCUUCGAGUCCGGGAGAGGUGAGUGGAACUCCGAGUGUAGAGGUGAAAUUCGUAGAUAUUCGGAAGAACACCAGUGGCGAAGGCGGCUCACUGGCCCGGUACUGACGCUGAGGAGCGAAAGCGUGGGGAGCGAACAGG
rnacentral:rRNA from 1 species